rnacentral:rRNA from 1 species
CAUCCUGGGGCUGGAGCAGGUCCCAAGGGUUCGGCUGUUCGCCGAUUAAAGUGGUACGUGAGCUGGGUUUAGAACGUCGUGAGACAGUUCGGUCCCUAUCUGCCGUGGGUGUAGGAGACUUGAGAGGAUCUGUCCUCAGUACGAGAGGACCGGGAUGGACGGACCUCUGGUGCACCAGUUGUGACGCCAGUCGCAUCGCUGGGUAGCUAUGUCCGGAAGGGAUAACCGCUGAAAGCAUCUAAGCGGGAAACCUCCCUCAAAACCAGGUCUCCCUUGAGAGCCGUGGAAGACCACCACGUCGAUAGGCCGGGUGUGUAAGCGCAGCAAUGCGCUGAGCUGACCGGUACUAAUCGCUCGAUCGGCUCGAAAGAUCCC